GGUUGAUUGAUGUAGUGGUUAUCAUUCCAGAUUUUGAGAAGUUCAGCAGUGAAACUGUGAACGAGAUUAAAAAAUUCUGGCAACCCCGUAAGUGAUGACUUGCACAGAUAUGCACAUAGCCUGAGUGUGUUCUGACCAAUCACAGGGUUCGAAUCCGGGAUCGACCU